rnacentral:rRNA from 1 species
UUAUGGCUCAGGAUGAACGCUAGCUACAGGCUUAACACAUGCAAGUCGAGGGGCAGCAUGACGAUAGCUUGCUAUGUGAUGGCGACCGGCGCACGGGUGAGUAACGCGUAUCCAACCUUCCCUAUAGUAGAGGAUAGCCCGGCGAAAGUCGGAUUAAUACUCUAUGUUUUCCAAUGCAGACAUCUAAGUUGGAACAAAGGUUCACCGCUAUAGGAUGGGGAUGCGUCUGAUUAGGUAGUAGGCGGGGUAACGGCCCACCUAGCCGACGAUCAGUAGGGGUUCUGAGAGGAAGGUCCCCCACAUUGGAACUGAGACACGGUCCAAACUCCUACGGGAGGCAGCAGUGAGGAAUAUUGGUCAAUGGGCGAGAGCCUGAACCAGCCAAGUAGCCGUGCAGGAUGACGGCCCUAUGGGUUGUAAACUGCUUUUAUACGGGGAUAAAGUGAGGGACGUGUCCCUUUUUGUAGGUACCGUAUGAAUAAGGACCGGCUAAUUCCGUGCCAGCAGCAGC